UACGUAGGCAGCAAGCGUUGUUCGGAGUUACUGGGCGUAAAGGGUGCGUAGGCGGCUUUUUAAGUUUGGUGUGAAAUCUCCCGGCUCAACUGGGAGGGUGCGCCGAAUACUGAAUGACUAGAGUGCGGGAGAGGAGAGUGGAAUUCCUGGUGUAGCGGUGAAAUGCGUAGAUAUCAGGAGGAACACCGGUGGUGUAGACGGCUCUCUGGACCGUAACUGACGCUGUGGCACGAAAGCGUGGGUAGCAAACAGG
rnacentral:rRNA from 1 species